CAUAGAUAUAUGCAUUGGAUGAAAACUAUUCUACUAUAACAGUGAAUUCGACAGAAUACAGAAAGAUACAUACAAAUAACUAGCAAUAUUGAAAGGAAUGAGAUAAGUUAGAGACAGUGGAUGUAAAUUGAAGAUGUCAUAUAAAGGAUGUCAAGGAGAGGAUAAAACAUUCAAACAUUUAUUUAAAUAAAGAGCAUUUGCUGAAAAACCAUUAAGGAGACUUGUAAAGAAAUAAAAUAAACA